AUUGAACGCUGGCGGCAUGCUUCACACAUGCAAGUCGAACGGUAACAGGUUAAGCUGACGAGUGGCGAACGGGUGAGUAAUGCAUCGGAACGUGCCCGAUCGUGGGGGAUAACGCAGCGAAAGCUGCGCUAAUACCGCAUACGAUCUGAGGAUGAAAGCGGGGGACCGUAAGGCCUCGCGCGAUCGGAGCGGCCGAUGUCAGAUUAGGUAGUUGGUGGGGUAAAGGCCCACCAAGCCGACGAUCUGUAGCUGGUCUGAGAGGACGACCAGCCACACUGGGACUGAGACACGGCCCAGACUCCUACGGGAGGCAGCAGUGGGGAAUUUUGGACAAUGGGCGAAAGCCUGAUCAAGCAAUGCCGCGUGCAGGAAGAAGGCCUUCGGGUUGUAAACUGCUUUUGUACGGAGCGAAAAGGUCCUUUCUAAUACAAGGGGCUCAUGACGGUACUGUAUGAAUAAGGACCGGCUAAUUCCGUGCCAGCCGCCGCGGUAA
rnacentral:rRNA from 1 species